ACGAAUUAAAGUUAACUGCGUGUUCGUUUGAGAAGAAAAGGAAGGAAUGUCGAAGACGGAUUUGCGGGAUGGAGACCUUUUCAAUCACCCGCAAAAGUGGAGAGAUUUGGAUGGAUUUAUAGUAAAAAGUCUCAUAUGCCCUCAUCUGCACCUUUCCCCUCAACAGAAAGGAUGAAAUUUGCGCCUCCUCGUUUUCUACUCUCUCAACCCCAUCGCCUUCUCCGCCGAAACCCUCCCCCANAAGCCAGAGACUGCUUUUCGUGUACUCUGAGAGAUUUCAACCUAUAAGCUGCUGAGUUAAAUUGUCCUCAUCAACUAUGUGUAGUGUUGGACUCAAACCUAUAGUUUUGGUUUUAUUAUAUUGGGCCGCUUUGUUUGAUACAAAGGUGGGAAGGAAGAAGAAAUGAUAG
rnacentral:lncRNA from 1 species